rnacentral:rRNA from 1 species
CGCCCAACAGCUAGCCCCCCCCCCCCACCAAAAACAACAAACCCCCAUCAAUAACCCCUAAUACCCUAACCUACUCCUAAACAAAUCAUUUUUCCUCCCUAGUACAGGCGAUAGAAAAGGAAC